GAUCAUGGCUCAGGAUGAACGCUAGCUACAGGCUUAACACAUGCAAGUCGAGGGGCAGCAUUGGAGUAGCAAUACUCAGAUGGCGACCGGCGCACGGGUGAGUAACACGUAUCCAACCUGCCGCUUACUCGGGGAUAGCCUUUCGAAAGAAAGAUUAAUACCCGAUGGUAUAAAGAGUUCGCAUGUUCUCUUUAUUAAAGAAUUUCGGUAAGCGAUGGGGAUGCGUUCCAUUAGAUAGUUGGCGGGGUAACGGCCCACCAAGUCUACGAUGGAUAGGGGUUCUGAGAGGAAGGUCCCCCACAUUGGAACUGAGACAUGGUCCAAACUCCUACGGGAGGCAGCAGUGAGGAAUAUUGGUCAAUGGACGAGAGUCUGAACCAGCCAAAAGUAGCGUGAAGGAUGACUGCCCUAUGGGUUGUAAACUUCUUUUAUAAGGGAAUAAGUGAGGGACGUGUCCCUUUUUGUAUGUACCUUAUGAAUAAGGAUCGGCUAACUCCGUGCCAGCCGCCGC
rnacentral:rRNA from 1 species